GAUAUAAUUAGAGCAUAGAUCAUCUUCUCUGCUCUUGAAUAUCUUAUUUCGAUAUUAUAAAGCAUCUUGCUGGUAUAGUAAAUAAGUCGUUGACUUUGAUUUUCAUCCUCUUGGAUGAGUACUAAACUAACUACCUCCAUCAAAGUCGCCAAAUAGAAAUACAAAGUUUCUCGGACCUUUGAUUUUAUAAGUAGCGGUGG
rnacentral:lncRNA from 1 species